UCGCGCUUGGUUGAAAAGCCAGUGGCGCGA
rnacentral:snRNA from 1 species